GAUGAACGCUGGCGGCGUGCCUAAUACAUGCAAGUCGAGCGAACAGACGAGGAGCUUGCUCCUCUGACGUUAGCGGCGGACGGGUGAGUAACACGUGGAUAACCUACCUAUAAGACUGGGAUAACUUCGGGAAACCGGAGCUAAUACCGGAUAAUAUAUUGAACCGCAGGGUUCAAUAGUGAAAGACGGUUUUGCUGUCACUUAUAGAUGGAUCCGCGCCGCAUUAGCUAGUUGGUAAGGUAACGGCUUACCAAGGCAACGAUGCGUAGCCGACCUGAGAGGGUGAUCGGCCACACUGGAACGGAGACACGGUCCAGACUCCUACGGGAGGGACCAGUAGGGAAUCUUCCGCAGUGGGCGAAAGCCUGACGGAGCAACGCCGCGUGAAUGAUGAAGGUCUUCCGAUCGUAAAACUCUGUUAUUAGGGAAAAACAAAUGUGUAAGUAACUAUGCACGUCUUGACGGUACCUAAUCAGAAAGCCACGGCUAACUACGUG
rnacentral:rRNA from 1 species